GAUGAACGCUGACAGAAUGCUUAACACAUGUAAGUCUACUUGAAUUUGGGUUUUUAACUUAGAUUUGGGUGGCGGACGGGUGAGUAACGCGUAAAGAACUUGCCUCACAGCUAGGGACAACAUUUAGAAAUGAAUGCUAAUACCUAAUAUUAUGAUAAUAGGGCAUCCUAUAAUUAUGAAAGCUAUAUGCGCUGUGAGAGAGCUUUGCGUCCCAUUAGCUAGUUGGAGAGGUAACGGCUCACCAAGGCGAUGAUGGGUAGCCGGCCUGAGAGGGUGAUCGGCCACAAGGGGACUGAGACACGGCCCUUACUCCUACGGGAGGCAGCAGUGGGGAAUAUUGGACAAUGGACCGAGAGUCUGAUCCAGCAAUUCUGUGUGCACGAUGAAGUUUUUCGGAAUGUAAAGUGCUUUCAGUUGGGAAGAAAGAAAUGACGGUACCAACAGAAGAAGUGACGGCUAAAUACGUGCCAGCAGCCGCGGUAAUACGUAUGUCACGAGCGUUAUCCGGAUUUAUUGGGCGUAAAGCGCGUCUAGGUGGUUAUAUAAGUCUGAUGUGAAAAUGCAGGGCUCAACUCUGUAUUGCGUUGGAAACUGUAUAACUAGAGUACUGGAGAGGUAAGCGGAACUACAAGUGUAGAGGUGAAAUUCGUAGAUAUUUGUAGGAAUGCCGAUGGGGAAGCCAGCUUACUGGACAGAUACUGACGCUGAAGCGCGAAAGCGUGGGUAGCAAACAGG
rnacentral:rRNA from 1 species